CAUCAAAUGAUGUUAGAUUAUAUUUGCUACUUCGGACAGGGUUUUACUCCCUGGAUGAGACAUACUAAAAUCACCAAGAUCUCUGAUGAUG
rnacentral:snoRNA from 1 species